rnacentral:rRNA from 1 species
CAUAAACCAACCCCGGCGCGGAAUGCGCCAAGGAAAACGAAUCUAAAAGAGAGAACUCUACGUUCGCCUCGGAAACGAUGUGUGCAUGUAGUUGAAUCUCCUUUCAUAACCAAAACGACUCUCGGCAACGGAUAUCUCGGCUCUCGCAUCGAUGAAGAACGCAGC